AUGCCGCGGUGAAUACGUUCCCGGGUCUUGUACACACCGCCCGUCACACCACGAGAGUUUAUAACACCCGAAGUCGGUGGGGUAACCGCAAGGAGCCAGCCGCCGAAGGUGGAUAGAUGAUUGGGGUGAAGUCGUAACAAGGUAGCCGUAUCGGAAGGUGCGGCUGGAUCACCUCCUUUCU
rnacentral:rRNA from 1 species